AGUGAACGCUGGCGGUAUGCCUAACACAUGCAAGUCGAACGGCAGCACAGUAAUAGCUUUCUCUUACGGGUGGCGAGUGGCGGACGGGUGAGGAAUACAUCGGAAUCUACUUUUUCGUGGGGGAGAACGUAGGGAAACUUACGCUAAUAACGCAUACGACCUACGGGGAAAAGCAGGGGAUCUUCGGACCUUGCGCUAUUGAAUUAGCCGAUGUCGGAUUAGCUAGUUUGCGGGGUAAAGGCCCAGCAAAGCGACCAUCCUUAGCUGGUCUCAGAGGAAGAUCCGCCAGCCUGGAACUGAGACACGGUAGACACACCUACGGGAGGCCGCAGUGGGGAAUAUUGGACAAUGCGGGAAAGCGUGAUCUAGCAAUAUCGCGUGGGUGCAGAAGGACUUAUGGUUGUAAAGCCAUUUUGUCGGGAAAGAAAAGCAGCAGGUUAAUACCCCGCUGUUAUGACGGUACCCAAAGAAUAAGCACCGGCUAACUUCGUG
rnacentral:rRNA from 1 species